AACGCAUCUUGUGCCCUUUGGUCACUCUGAAGGGCAUGCCUGUUUGAGAGUCAUUAUUGUUCUCAAACUUCAUAAGUUUGUUAUGAAGCUUUGGAUGUGGAGGGAUCCUUGCUGGCAAAUUUUUAUUGCUGGCACCUCUCAAAUGCAUCAGUAGAGAGCAUUUUGUUCUUGGCUCUGGUUUGAUAAGUUGAAUAUCUAUGCCAUUGCUUUGACCGGCUUACUGGUUUCUUGUCCAUCACGGACAUUUUGUGAAAACAUGACCUCAAAUCAGGUAGGACUACCCGCUGAACUUAA
rnacentral:misc_RNA from 1 species